AUAUUCAUUCAUAUUUAAUUAUUAUUUAGACGUGCCUGGUAAGUUUAUUGCUCAUAGUUCUUAGAAUGUUUUAUGUAUUUAACCGCGAAGUCUCCCUUGAUAUAUUUACCGAUCACUGUCCAUUGUCUUUGUCUUUUGUGUUAUUAAUAAUAUGAUUAUGUUAGCAUAUACAUUUAUAUCUUUUAUUAUAUGUUUUAGGUUUCGUUCGACAACGUAUAAAUAAAUAAUAUUCGAACUCCGAAGUUGAGUGGUUUUGUCUUGGCACACCCACACUACAAAUGGCUCCCCGAUCGAGGUUGGCGUAGUCCAGAGCCAGGCCGUCGUGUCCUCCAGACCAGACGUUGAGGGGAUUUUGUCUGCGUUUUGACGCCCAGAAGAGGUCGAGAAGCCCAGCAUAUCCGCCGGCACCUCCGUAUUGAAGAGCUGGGUAUUUCUGCACAAGGGGCACGUUGACUGUACAUAGCAGCGUAAACAUAGUGACGUCUGGCGCCCAGUGAAAUGUUCUUCCGUGUUACAUAUACAGUUUUCAACAGAUAUGUACUCUGAUAUACUCGCGUUAGUUUCGAUGUUGAAGUGGUGGGACAUAUUAUUUGCUUUAACCAGUCAGCACCAGGUUCGCACCCGGGAUCGCUGUACGGACGUAUGCACCUUGUGUUGUCAACGUGUCGAUGCCAAAGACUCACACUCACAAGACUGGGUUUAUAUGCAUGCAUUUGUGACAGAAACAGAGAAAGGUGGUGGAAAAUUCCAUGCGUUUUAACCAUCCUGUUGGUUAUGCUAUACAGAAACUGCCAUUAGGACCAUAUCACAAUUUAAGUGGUCACCAGAUUCAAACCCUGUCUGGUUGUUCGGACGUUCGACCGACGCAUUACCAUGGUAACCAUGCAGAAGAGAUACAAGUACAUCUCAACAGAUAUGUGAGCAGAAAUACCCAUUGUUUAAGAUUUGUUACUUAUUAAGAUGCUUAAGUUUCCUUUUUCAAUUAAAGUUUUUAGAUAACUUCAGUUUUCUAUCAUUUGUACACGGAUAUGAGAUACAUGUACUAAUUACAGAACUUUAGGAUAUUGUCCAUAAAAGGAAGACAUUUACAAUUGCAUGUUUUUCACAGGUAAAGGUAUUUAUUGACUAACUUGACUUCCGGGCAGUUGAACAUGAUAUUUACCAUUUAUAAAUGUAAAGUAUAUGUACAGUACGGUACACAACAGAUAUGUGAGUAAAAACACAAUUACUUUUAAAAAGAUGCAAG